AAGUCGUAACAAGGUUUCCGUAGGUGAACCUGCGGAAGGAUCAUUAACACGUAUCCAAACGUUAAACCCCCCUGUGAACCUUCACCUGUACUCGUACGUCCGUUAGAAAAAGCAGCAAUCCCUGGUAAAUCAUCGCCGAACAGUUUUCGAUUCAGGGACGUCUGCAAGGAGCGUGCAUGUUGUGCGAAGCAAGUGGCCUGGCAUCCCCAAGCAGUUAGUGUCUGAAAGUGUCAUUACCUGUGUAAGGCCACACGGCCGACGACCGGGUCGCUGGGCGCAAGCCCCCCUAUAACAAACCCCCUGCCAAUCGCGGCCGCGAUAAUACGCAGUCGACCAAAAACCGAACAACUGUUAACAAUGGAUAUCUUGGUUCUC
rnacentral:misc_RNA from 1 species